UUGCUGUGGGUGUGAUUCUCCUCCUUGCUCUGUUGGGUCUCUGCCUCUGGAAAAAAGGAAAGAUGAAAGACAAUAGGGAAACCAGAAAGGUGGUGCCCUCUGGAGAGCAAAACAGCGAAGAUAUUACAUACGCUGAUCUUAUCCUAAAGAAAAGGC